AUUACCUGGAGCACCACUGCCUCGCCAGAGCCCUUGAAACACAAGGGCCUAGAGGCAUGUGCUAUAUGAAACAGCUAUCACAGCGGCAUCCUCUAAACAGAGGAGACGCUACGAGUGUGUGGGGCUAAUAACAUGUAAUACAACAUCUUUCAGGAAGCCCAGGACUGCACUGGAGUCAAACAGUGGUUCUGGGCCGAGUAACAUUACUGGAUGAAGGGAGAUGUGCUGGCGGUAUGCUAAGGGAAAAUGUUUCUUUCAUUCAGAUUCGGCUUUCCGACACUCCAGAAGGACGUGGAGGACGGUCAGCCUUUCCCCGCAUCUACCACAGGUUGGAGGCUCGUUUCCGGUAUCUGUUGUCCACACAUUUCUAAGCAGGGAUCCGGAACCAGGCCUCUCUUCCUUGUAAACAAAACACAAGAACUCUUAUGAGGAUUGAUUUUGAAUCCAUUUUUCUCUGCCCACCCUGACACCUUGUUCAAACCAUGCUGUACCUGUCUCUCGCACACUGCGAGGUUACAGGAUCUGAAACCUAUUUGAAUGUCGUCCACAUAGGCGGAAUAUAAAAUGGCCGGUGGUAAGGAAGCACGAAGUGUUGUCAUCUUAACAAUAAAGAGUGUGCAACUGAGCACGCCACCCUGGGGUA
rnacentral:lncRNA from 1 species